GAGAAGGCGUAAACAAAGAUGGUCAUGUGAUAAGUAACACGCUGGCGUGCUGAUAGAGUGCGCAGAUCCGGCAACGGGACGGGUGCGCUGCCAUUGCAGCGUCUGCUCUAACUCCUCAAUAAAGAUAGCAUUGGUUGGUUGUUACCCCUGGCAACUAUGUAAGUAAGAAUAACUCAAAUAUCGGAAGUGUUUACAUCAUGAUUGGGGUUUGUUAAAGACAUACCUCGUUUUCCCAAAGGCCACACCCAUUUUUCUGAGUAAAGUGGAGAGUUAGUAGAGCUUUUUUGGGGAUUUUUUUUUUUU